ensembl:lncRNA
CAUGAGUUCAGUUACUGGCUAGGGAAAGCUGCUCAACUCUGGUGCAGGAGUUAAUGCGUUUGGCCCAAGCUAGCUAAUGCAGGACCUGGAUGUAGUGCAACCGGCCUCACGGGGCUGGCGUGAGGCUCUCCCCCGCUCCAUCUUCGUUACCCACCUCCUGACAGGCGGCUCCUUGCAACCACAGUAAGACUCUGACUUGCCCCGUUCCAGAAAAGCACAUUUCACCCUGAUCAUGCGGCUCAGUUCUUCAAGAGAGGUCAGGGAAGAAUUUUCCAAAAAGACAUUUCCAGCCCCAGGCUUACUCAAAGCAGAGUGCUGAGCAAUCUCUGGGUUCCACAGAAAUCUCCUCUAACAGCAAAAGCGGCUGUGGGGAAGGAGCCCGUGCUGGAGGCGGGCACCUGACAUCGCCCUGGACGCAUUCCCUCUCUGGAUCUCAGUGCCCUUGCUAUGUAGUGGGCUCCAGAGUCAAUGUCCACCUAUCGGCGGCUUCUCUUGGUCCUUCUCCCCCACCAAGCUCACCCCUUUCUUGGCAUCAGUAUCCACUUAAAGAUCUUGUUUGUCAAGGGAGGGCUCAGGGGAGGUGGGUGGCUUAAUGACCAUCUCCCCUCCCAGAUAUCCCGGUUGGCAGAGGGAAGUCCUUAGGAGGUUGUCAUAAAUAACUAGCCCUUGUCCUUACUCCCUCUGAAGGAAGUCUGAGCUGUGACUGCUGUGGCUCAUUUGGGCAAAGUUGGGAGCCCAGAAGCAUUCUCAUUGGAAGAUCUGCUUGUAGAGUUUCAUGUAACCCCAGCCCGACUGGGAGCCAGGAGCUUGGAUGUUCUUAUAAGGCUCGCUCAAGUCUCAAAGAGGAGGCGGAGAGUUACAUGCCAGGGCCUGAACUGCCAAUCAGCAAGACUCACUCCCUCCAGCUGGGCAAGAGGUUGCCCCACCACCACCAGCAGUGGGAAGUGCAGGCCAGAUACCAUCUGGAGGUAAACAUCUGCCGAUUGAUAGCUUUCCCGCAGCUUUGGAGCACCCCGGUUGGCACAGGAAGACAGCUCAGGAGAGAGGGGAAUUGCCAGCAUCGUUGAGGGAAGGGCAAUUAUUAUAGAGAGGGAAGUCCCCUAACUUAACCCAAGUGAUAGAGGAGUUUCUGGGAGAGAUGCCCCUAGAGACUGGGUAUGCCUACAGGAAGAGGGGGCAGGGAAAAGUGCAUUUCCUGGUUGGAUGCUUGCUGAUGUCUGCAUCUGCAUGCCCAUUCCAGACCUGCAAGGAACGUAACAGACUCUGACAGGCACGUUCUAGAAAGAACUUGGUCUCUGUUCACUAAGAUUUGAGGGCACAUAUGAAGCAAUAGCAUUUGCUACUGAUUCUUUUUUUAAAAAACAACUUUACUAGGGCUGGCAUUGUGGUGCAACCCCUGCAACUCUGGCAUCCCAUAUUGGAGUGCUGGCUCAGGUCACGGCUUUUCUGCCUCAAUCCUGCUUCCUGCUGAUGUGCCUGAGAAGGCAGUAGAAGUGGCCCAAGUACUUGGGCUCCUGUCACCCAUGUGGGAGACCAAGAUGGAGUUCUGGGAUCUUGAUUUCCGCCUGGUCUAGCCCCUCCCAUUGUGGCCAUUUGGGGAGUGAAUCAGUGGAUGGAAUGUCUCCCUGUGUCUUUCCUUUCUCUCUGUCACUCUGCCUUUCAAAUAAAUACAUAAAUGAAUAUUUAAAAAAAGAUAAC